UGGCCAGGGGAAGAGAGAACUUCUGCAUGGCAGAGCUACCCAGAAGUGCUGUGGCUGGACUGUUGUUAUGGUUAAUGAGGCUCCAGGAGUCUACAAGGGUGUACCUUCACUUGCCUGGAGGUGAUGAUCAGUGGUUCCCUGAGGGUCCAGAUGCAACUACAUUGGCGUGACUUCUGCACGGCUCUUCCUCCCCUGCACCCCUCCCCAUUCCACUCAGGUGUUGCAGUCAGCUCUGAUGAUGUCUUGGCGUGAUGAUGGGGCCUUUUCUUCUGUGCUAGGUAUCCGGCAAGAAUUGAAAUCACAAGGAUCCUGCCUUCUAUCUCCAAAAUCGCAACUAAACAGGGAAAUUUGACAGUGAAUCUGACAAUCUGCUCUUGAGUGAUGAAUGGGACAUUUACAAUAUAUGGAAUGCCUAAACUGUAUCUCACACUUUGUGGUUUUAACAUCAUAAUUAAAAGAUUUUGCCUUUCAAGCAAAAUUGCCAGCCCUAAAAUUUGUAAAGUGAGACUUCAUUAUGAAUCCCCACAAAGGGGCAAAAGAUUGUAUUUGGCAUAGCCAAAGACAAGGAUGUUGCAGUAGCUGAGAUGCAAGAAGAGAACCUGAAUGAUGCACAGUGUCAAGAAGUCUAUUAUCAAAUUCUUCCUUAAGGCUCCAUCCAGCAAGUUUCACAUUGGAACAAGAAAGCAACAACAACAAAGUGUUUCUGAAAAAGAAAUAUGAUCCAAAAUGCUGACUUGGAAAAUAAAAGCCAGAUUUUAUAUGAAGGUCUUUCUUAUUCUUGUCAGAAAAUACCUCGGUAGACAUACUGGACCUUAGAAACCUUUCUGCUGAAAUAACUUUCCAUCUGCAAUAAAACAACAUCUUUCAAUACUCAAUGUUGUGACCAAAAGUUAUGAUAUGUAGAAUGAUCAAAUAUGUCAUCGCUGAUCCUAUCCUCAUGAGAUAAGCUUCAUUUGAAGUCUGUUAGUAAUUCUACCGUCUCUUCAUCCUAUUAGUGUCAUCUUAUUUUAGGUUAACAGUGUCUUGCUGAAAGGCUGUAAAUCACUCCUGUAGAAUUUUUUUCCCCAUACAAGCUUUAAGUCUGAACAUGUUAAGCCAGCUGUGAUGUGUGGAUAAGCAUUCAGUUCAGAAAUUUUUGUAUAGGACUUUAAAAGCCUUCCUUGUCAACAAUUUAUGGAAUAUAAAUGCUGUUUGUGGAAUCUGAGACAGUGAGUUCUAAUGUUGUUUAACACAUGCCAGGUAUUUCAGCAGCAGUUAAACAAAUAAUUUCUAAGCAGGAACCUUUUGAACCCCCUAAGAUAGGGUGCAUUCAGGCAGCAGUCCAGAGGUGGGGGGGGCUGCCUCUGAUAGCCAUAUCCACUGUGGCCCAGAGCCCCUGAAUUUUGCAGCAGGCCAUACCCCCCAACUUCUGGUAGCCCACCAGCCCACCAGUAAGCCAAAGAGAUUGUGCUGUGGUCCACAUGUGGUCCACAGGCUGGAUGUAUGACACCCCUGCCCUAUGGAAAAAGGGCCUGGUUAUGUAUACAUUCAUCCAAUGUCAGUUAUAAAUACAUAGUGUUGUUUGUAUUCACCAAAAGU